CCCCCCCAACCCCAUAUUCCCCAACAUUCCCCUCACAGCUACCUACACCCCACAUCCCCCGAUAUCCCCCCACAUCCCCUUACACCCCACAUUACCCUAUACCCCCCCCCAUACCCCAUAUUACCCCACAGCCCCUCUGCAGCCCCCACAGCCCCUAAACUCCCACAUCCCCCCGUAUCUCCCCCACCGCCUCCGUACCCACAGCCCACCUCAGCCCCGUGGGGCACCGGGAGCAGCGCUGGAGGGCUCGGGGGGAUUAGGGUCGUGCUGCCGGAUGCGGGCAGCAGCGCUGCGGCGGUUGGGGCCCCGAGUCCUUCAGCCGUCCCAAAUCCCCGCAUCCCACGGCAGAGGGGAGGGCGGGGUGGCUGGGGCCGCGCACGGUUCCUCUNNNNNNNNNNNNNGGAGCCGUUCUCCCGCACACCUCCGGCGCCGCUUUCCUCAGCACCGCUCCCGCCGUGCCGCGGUUCCGUCUCGGUGCUGCCCGGACAGCUCCGGCGCGCUGCGGCUGCGGCUGCGGCUGCGGGGCCGUCGGCGUCUGAGAGGAAAGGCGGUCAGCUCCGAGCCGGAAGCAACGGCCGCUCCCGCGCUCUGCGCCUCAGCCAAUCGAAGCCGGCGGUGCUGCCGCUGACCAAUCAGAGACCAGAGGCGGGCCGGAACUGCCGCCAACCAAUGAGAGGCCGGGCGCGGGGCGGAGCGGCUGCUGGUGGGGGCUCGGGGUGCUCUCUAUUGCCAUCGGGGGUGGGAUUGGGAUCGGAAUUGGGAUUGGGGACGAGGGAUUGCGACUGGGAUGAGGGAUUGAGAUGGACAGGUUGGAAAGAGCUUCAAGAUCAUCAAAUCCAACCACAGCCCAACCGUGAAAUCUGUUCAGCCGUGCUUUGGUCUCUGUGACGUCUAUAAAGGUUGAGAUUCACAGUUGC
ensembl:lncRNA